GUGACACAUCUGUGGGCUUCUCACCGAAAUGAUGUGACUUUCCUUCCUGGGCUCACCUCUCAAGGGAAUUUUGACAUAUUACUGGACCAAGCACCUAGGUGAUGUGGCUCUGACAAACGAGAAAUUGUGAUGUACCACUGUUCCACACCUAAGAGAUCUGACUCUCUUUUCAUGAGCCCUGCAUUUAUUGUGUAUUGUGACAUAUGGCUUGGUCCAACGCCUAGGUGAUGUGACUCUCUACUUCUUCCUCGGCCAUGCCAAAGAAGAGGAUUGUGACAUAUCACUGGAUCCAGCACUUAGGUCUUUUCCCACAGGGAGCAUUGUAAAAUAUCACUGGGCUCGGCCACCAGGUUAUGUGACCCUUCUGCCUGUGCCCUGCUUCCUGGAAAUGUGACAUUCCUCAUACAGCACCCAGGUGAUGUGACUCUUCUGCUCAUUUUCUACUUAUAGUUGGGAUUGUGACAAAUAUCCUGGCCCAACUCAUAGGUGCUAUGAUGAUUCCCGUACCUGGAAUCAGCCAAUAGGGAGAUAGUGUCUCUUGUAUUGUAGCCUAGGGAAACAAGUAAGAUCCUGGGCCUCCUCUUUGUAUGAAUGUCAUAAAGAGUUAUCAAUCUGACUGGGCAGUGUGGC
rnacentral:lncRNA from 1 species